AGGAGAACAUUUUGUGAGGUGAUUCACACUCCAACAUAAAGAAAAGAGAGGCGACAACAUAUUGAAACGCAGCUUGUGUUGCAUCCAUCUGAUAAAUAUUUGAGGAAAAAUGAGAAAAUCUCUCACUUGGAGGUAGGCCUAUGGAGUUGAGGCAAAUGUUGGGUUUGAUAUUGAGCAAUAUGUUUAGCUAAGGAGGGCAGAUUUUACAUGCUUGCACUGGCAGUGUAGUUGCCGGCGGACCUGCUUGCUCAUACUUCAUUCCUGAGUAUUACAGCACUACGAACACAGCCUGCAGGCAGAUAGCCUGCAGCUACUGACUACGAGGCGUCCCAGGAACCCGCAGGCUUUGUAAAUCAGACUACAAAGACGUUCCACCAAGUUUUCCCAGGAACGAAUCAUCUUUCUUUCGAGAAGAAGGGGAUUUCGGAGUUGGAGAUUUGGGAGAGGACGGCGAUUUAGGAGAGGACGGUGAAGCCAUUGGUCCUUCGUAUCCGGUUCA